rnacentral:rRNA from 1 species
CUCCUACGGGAGGCAGCAGUGGGGAAUAUUGGACAAUGGGGGCAACCCUGAUCCAGCCAUGCCGCGUGGGUGAAGAAGGCCUUCGGGUUGUAAAGCCCUUUUGUGCGGGAAGAAAAGUCGUCGGUGAACAUCCGGCGAUGCUGACGGUACCGCAAGAAUAAGCACCGGCUAACUUCGUGCCAGCAGCCGCGGUAAUACGAAGGGUGCAAGCGUUACUCGGAAUUACUGGGCGUAAAGCGUGCGUAGGUGGUGAGUUAAGUCUGAUGUGAAAUCCCUGGGCUCAACCUGGGAAUGGCAUUGGAUACUGGCUCGCUGGAGUGCGGUAGAGGGUGGUGGAAUUCCCGGUGUAGCAGUGAAAUGCGUAGAGAUCGGGAGGAACAUCUGUGGCGAAGGCGGCCACCUGGACCAGCACUGACACUGAGGCACGAAAGCGUGGGGAGCAAACAGGAUUAGAUACCCUGGUAGUCCACGCCCUAAACGAUGCGAACUGGAUGUUGGUGGGAACUUGCCCAUCAGUAUCGAAGCUAACGCGUUAA